AUGAAUGGUUUGGAAUUUAAGAUGGCAUCCAACUCAUCCAAGGUCAUGUAUGAUGCUUACACUCUAUUUGGUGAUCCUACUCCAACAAACAAGCAGUACAAUUCAGUCAAGAUUUUUAGCAAUCCCGAUAUUGCUACUGGAAAAACAUGGUAUGGUAUUGAGCAAAAGCUCAGCCUUUUGCAAAAGGGAUGUUAAGUGGCCCAUUGAAUGGCCUCAAGGAGGUUAUCCCGAACCUCAAGUAUAACACUAUAAUGUACAAAAUAUUAGCUGUUUAUUGUCUUUAUAUUGACAAAAAAUUCUAAUUUCAAGUCCU